rnacentral:lncRNA from 1 species
UGGCGUAAGUUACGUUUAACGUAACUUAGCCGGCUCCCAAAACUAAAUAUUGAUUUUGGCAUUCGGCUUGUACUCUAUAUUAUAUUAUUUUAUUUUGCAGAAUCGAAAAAGGACGAGAGAGGACUCCUAAUUCCGAAAUCCAACGUUGUAGUGACGUAUUUCUUGCAACAGUUUCAGCAAGUUGUUGCUCUUCAUUUGGAUGGCAUGUGUGUAUCUUGGUAACAUCAUAUAUGCAUGCGGGAACGCCUAAGUUACAAUCAUUGUAUCUUACGUUUUUUUUUUAUUCUUCUUGGCUAAUUUCAUAUAGACCCUUUUGAUUUUAUUUAUUUCUAAAUUUUAUAGUUACGGAUGCAUUUGUCUUCUAAAUUUUAUUUAUUUCACCACCUGUAGUGUCUAUGAAUCUUUCCCUAAGUUCUUCGGUUAGUUCAAGCUCUAUAUUUCUAAUGUUAUUUUUAUCAGUUUUUAAUACUUUUAUUAAAUCUUUUAUUUCUUCUUUAUUAUAUACCUUUAGUGUAUAUAAACAAUUAACUAUUCCCUGUAUAUGAUCCAUGUUUAUAGCUCCAUGGCUCUGAUACCAUUUUUCGCAUUAGCAAAAUUUAACAGAAAUAAACAGAAAAUUAACAAAAAUAAACAAAAAUAAACAGAAAUAACAAAAAAUGAACAGAAGUAACAGAAUUUUAAAACAGUUGAUAACAAAAUUAAUUUACAAUCUUUGUUAAUUUACAAUCUACAUUAAAAAUUAUUGUAAAAUAAUGAAUUUGAUUAUCUGAAUAAAUACAUUUAUGAUAAAAAUUGUUAUUAGAAAAGUACGUGGCAUUGUUCUACCGCUAGGUACAGCUAUCCAGGUAGCCCUUUGGACCAGUAGUCUGCAACCCGAAGUGGUUUCCAGCCGAUAUACUUUUCAUAUUUCUAAGAUUAUAUUUCAAGUUCUUCGUUAUCUGAAUUAUAGAUAUAUGAAGGUUCAGCUUUAUGAAAUCUAUGUUCUAAAUAAGCUUUUGCUAUAUCUAAUCCUUCUUCUAUUGUUAAUAUAAUUAUAUUAUGUUUUAAAUUAUCUAUUUCAAUAUCGUUUAUAAUUUUUCUUUUUAUUUCUCUGGGUAAUUUAAGUGAGUCUACUGCUAAUAAAUCCUCCGUUCUAACAAGCUCUUGUUUACUAAACAGAUACGAACUCUGUUUAAAUGAACCUAAAUUAAAAUCUAUUAUCAUCAUGUAUUCAUUAUAUGU